CUCACUCCCACUCCCUCCUGAUCCCAAUCCUGAGAUAAAUAACUUAAAGAAAAAUUCUCAAUUGAUUUUGAUGUCAGCCUUUUAUUGUUAGGAGAACUUUCAGCUGCAAGUAACAGAAAACCCAACUACCAAUGGCUUAAGUAAAAAGAGUUUAUUUUCUCACAUAACAAGAAAUAUGUCACAGCUUGUGUUGGUUCAGCAGCUCAAAGGUAUCAGAGCUGACAUUUCUGAAGUUCUCUUGACCUUAUCUUCAUUUUCACAGUACUCCAGGCAUCAAGCUCACGUUCAAGUCGUAAAGUUGCAUUCCCAAGUAUGUGUGUCCCCUUUUCUAGGGAAGCAAGAGUUUCCCAUAUGUCCCCCAGCAGACUUCUGCUUUAGUCUCUUUGGCCAGAAGGAUGUGACAUGACCAUCUGUAGCUGGAAGGGAGACUGGAUAAGUCAGUUUACGUCCUCCAGCUUCUAUGGAAGGGAAAAGAAUAAAAGGAAUAAUACUGUGCCUUGAAAAAUCACUAGCCUGAACAAAUUGAAAAUCUCCUAAAUCCCCUUCAGCUCCAUCAUCAAAUGGUCAUUUGCUCCAGGCAAGAAGACUCAUAGGUAAUGUUUCCUGUCCUUCAUGGAAAAUUAACUCAAAACAGAUCCACACUAAAUGGAAGAGCCACUCUGUGGAAAGAUGAUAUGUGACUAUUGGUCACAGAACCAUUGGUGGUUCAAUGGUUCUGAGGGUAGCACAAAGACAUGUUAUUCCUGAGUUCUGCUGAUGUCUAAAGAUGUUGCCAAUACGCUAAAUGGAAACCAGCCAGAUCAAAUCGUUAUGAACAAAAUAUCACAGAGAGAAAAUUAACUUUUAAAAAAUUUAAUACAAAUAAAUGGUAAUUCCCAAUUUUCUUACCCUUAGGAGCACUUCCAUCUUGAUACUUUAAAAUUUUC
rnacentral:lncRNA from 1 species